UCGGACUGUAGUCUGCAACCCGACUACACGAAGCUGGAAUCGCUAGUAAUCGCGGAUCAGCAUGCCGCGGUGAAUACGUUCCCGGGCCUUGUACACACCGCCCGUCACACCAUGGGAGUCGGUAACACCCGAAGCCUGUAGUCUAACCGCAAGGGGGGCGCAGUCGAAGGUGGGAUUGAUGACUGGGGUGAAGUCGUAACAAGGUAUC
rnacentral:rRNA from 1 species